rfam:Drosophila virilis strain TSC#15010-1051.87 Ctg01_17150, whole genome shotgun sequence.
AACAAAGCCCUUUUAAGGGCUACAUAUUAUUUUCCAAGAGAAAACA